UACGUAGGGACCGAGCGUUGUCCGGAAUCAUUGGGCGUAAAGAGCGUGUAGGCGGCUUGCUAAGUCUUGCGUGAAAUCCCGGAGCUCAACUCCGGAACUGCCUUUCAUACUGGCAAUCUAGAGUCCGGAAGAGGUGAGUGGAACUCCUAGUGUAGAGGUGGAAUUCGUAGAUAUUAGGAAGAACACCAGUGGCGAAGGCGGCUCACUGGUCCGGUACUGACGCUGAGGUGCGAAAGCGUGGGGAGCAAACAGGG
rnacentral:rRNA from 1 species